rnacentral:lncRNA from 10 species
CAGGAGUGGAGGACAUUCAUGGACACAGGGGAAUUCUCACUUCAAAUAAAGCAUAUCUUCUCUCAGUUAGAAACGGAAAGAAAAAAAAGGUGACUGAGACCUAACAGAGAAGUGAAUGAGGAAGACUGGCAUAGAUGAAGGAUUCUACAGACAUUCCACCAUGGCUUAAAAAUCACAUCUAGGGAACAGUGAAAAGAGACAUUUGCCACAUGGUCCUCACACCAAUGAAAUACUCUGUAUGAAAUAUUUAAACAAAUGUUAAAAUACAGAAAAUAAUUAUACCUUUGUACCCAUCACCCAGAUUGAACAUAUUUCAUGGGCUAUUGUAAAAAAAGUAAAGCAUUACAGACAGGAUUGAACCCCCCUUUAUACUCCUCCCUCACCCUAAUAAUUUGCUUGCAAUCUUAAACUGUGUUUCAAUUUUAGUGCCUAACAUUAAACUUUAUAAUUUUCUAAAAAAUCUAAAAUUACUACUUUUAGCCCCCUCCACACAAGUCAAGAAAGUUAUCAAGUUUCAACUACCCAUUUAAAGCCCAGUGUCUUCUUUUUUGUUGUUACCUUGACAUUUAGUUUUGUAUUUUUCUUUUUUUGAUGUUUUUCAUCUUUAAUAAGACCAAGAUAUUCUGUUCAUUUCUGUGCUCACUAUUUUUACUUACAACUAUCUCUUUGUACUGUGUUUACUUUUCUUCUUUUUUGAGUACAUUCCUCAUUAGCUAUUUUAGUGAGAGCUGUGGAAGGUAAAUUCCCUUAAUAUUUGCUUGUCUAAAAUUUUCUUUAGUUCACCCUCUCUCAAAUGAUAAUUUACCUGGCUAUAAAAUUAUAAAUUGGCAGUUAUUUUCUUGUAUUAUUUUGAAGACAUUGUCCUACUGCCUUCUAGCAUCUAUUCUGAUAAGGAGAAAUUAUUGUACUUCUGUAAUAACUUUGUUGUUAAUCUAUCUCUUCUCUCUUUUAGCUUUAAGGGUUUUUAUUUUAAUUUUUAGAUUUAAUAUUCUACCAUUUUACUAUGAUGGUUUGCUAUGAUGGUUAGCUUUCUUUUUAUUUACCUGACUCAGUUCUCUUAUCUUCAACUCUGUGAAAUUUACAGCCAUUGUACUUUCAAAAACCUCUUUUCUACCAUUUUCAUAAUUUUUACUUUUAUAGCUCUUUCUAUAUUUAUGUAAAUUAGUAUUAUCUUCCAAUUUAUUAAAUGUUUCUGCCUUAUUCAGUUCAGA